rnacentral:rRNA from 1 species
UCGAGAAUCUUCCACAAUGGGCGCAAGCCUGAUGGAGCGACGCCGCGUGAUUGAUGAAGUCCUUCGGGACGUAAAGAUCUUUUAUGAAGGAGAAAGCCGUGAUCUUCGGAUUGCGGUUGAUGUUACUUCAUGAAUAAGGGGUUGCUAAACUCGUGCCAGCAGCAGCGGUAAUACGAGUACCCCAAGCGUUAUCCGGAAUUACUGGGCGUAAAGGGUGUGUAGGCGGUUUUGUUAGUCUCUUGUCAAAGCUCCCGGCUUAACCGGGAAAAGGCAGGGGAAACGGCAUAACUAGCGGAUGCGAGAGGUUUAUGGAACUCAUGGUGUAGGGGUGAAAUCCGUUGAUAUCAUGGGGAACACCAAAUGCGAAGGCAAUAAACUGGCGCACUCCGGACGCUGAAACACGAAAGCAUGGGUAGCGAACGGGAUUAGAUACCCCCGUAGUCC